rnacentral:rRNA from 1 species
AGCGAACGCUGGCGGCAGGCCUAACACAUGCAAGUCGAACGAACCUUUCGGGGUUAGUGGCGGACGGGUGAGUAACACGUGGGAACGUGCCUUUAGGUUCGGAAUAACUCAGGGAAACUUGUGCUAAUACCGAAUGUGCCCUUCGGGGGAAAGAUUUAUCGCCUUUAGAGCGGCCCGCGUCUGAUUAGCUAGUUGGUUGAGGUAAUGGCUCACCAAGGCGACGAUCAGUAGCUGGUCUGAGAGGAUGAUCAGACACAUUGGGACUGGGACACGGCCCAAACUCCUACGGGAGGCGGCAGUGGGGAAUCUUGCGCAAUGGGCGAAAGCCUGACGCAGCCAUGCCGCGUGAAUGAUGAAGGUCUUAGGAUUGUAAAAUUCUUUCACCGGGGACGAUAAUGACGGUACCCGGAGAAGAAGCCCCGGCUAACUUCGUG